GGGAUUGUAGCUCAUGGUAGAGCACUUGCCUCGUAUGCACGAGGCACUGGAUUCAAUCCUA
rnacentral:tRNA from 1 species